GGGUCCAUGGCUAGUGCUUACACAUGCAGUCGAACGAUGAAGCCCAGCUUGCUGGGUGGAUUAGUGGCGAACGGGUGAGUAACACGUGAGUAACCUGCCCUUGACUCUGGGAUAAGCCUGGGAAACUGGGUCUAAUACCGGAUAGGAACGUCCACCGCAUGGUGGGUGUUGGAAAGAUUUAUCGGUCAUGGAUGGACUCGCGGCCUAUCAGCUUGUUGGUGAGGUAAUGGCUCACCAAGGCGACGACGGGUAGCCGGCCUGAGAGGGUGACCGGCCACACUGGGACUGAGACACGGCCCAGACUCCUACGGGAGGCAGCAGUGGGGAAUAUUGCACAAUGGGCGAAAGCCUGAUGCAGCGACGCCGCGUGAGGGAUGACGGCCUUCGGGUUGUAAACCUCUUUCAGUAGGGAAGAAGCGAAAGUGACGGUACCUGCAGAAGAAGCACCGGCUAACUACGUGCCAGCAGCCGCGGUAAUACGUAGGGUGCGAGCGUUAUCCGGAAUUAUUGGGCGUAAAGAGCUCGUAGGCGGUUUGUCGCGUCUGUCGUGAAAGUCCGGGGCUUAACCCCGGAUCUGCGGUGGGUACGGGCAGACUAGAGUGCAGUAGGGGAGACUGGAAUUCCUGGUGUAGCGGUGGAAUGCGCAGAUAUCAGGAGGAACACCGAUGGCGAAGGCAGGUCUCUGGGCUGUAACUGACGCUGAGGAGCGAAAGCAUGGGGAGCGAACAGGAUUAGAUACCCUGGUAGUCCAUGCCGUAAACGUUGGGCACUAGGUGUGGGGACCAUUCCACGGUUUCCGCGCCGCAGCUAACGCAUUAAGUGCCCCGCCUGGGGAGUACGGCCGCAAGGCUAAAACUCAAAGGAAUUGACGGGGGCCCGCACAAGCGGCGGAGCAUGCGGAUUAAUUCGAUGCAACGCGAAGAACCUUACCAAGGCUUGACAUGUUCUCGAUCGCCGUAGAGAUACGGUUUCCCCUUUGGGGCGGGAUCACAGGUGGUGCAUGGUUGUCGUCAGCUCGUGUCGUGAGAUGUUGGGUUAAGUCCCGCAACGAGCGCAACCCUCGUUCCAUGUUGCCAGCACGUGAUGGUGGGGACUCAUGGGAGACUGCCGGGGUCAACUCGGAGGAAGGUGGGGACGACGUCAAAUCAUCAUGCCCCUUAUGUCUUGGGCUUCACGCAUGCUACAAUGGCCGGUACAAUGGGUUGCGAUACUGUGAGGUGGAGCUAAUCCCAAAAAGCCGGUCUCAGUUCGGAUUGGGGUCUGCAACUCGACCCCAUGAAGUCGGAGUCGCUAGUAAUCGCAGAUCAGCAACGCUGCGGUGAAUACGUUCCCGGGCCUUGUACACACCGCCCGUCAAGUCACGAAAGUCGGUAACACCCGAAGCCGGUGGCCUAACCCUUGUGGGGGAGCCGUCGAAUAUGAGACCCCUG
rnacentral:rRNA from 1 species